AACGAACGCUGGCGGCAUGCCUAACACAUGCAAGUCGAACGAGACCUUCGGGUCUAGUGGCGCACGGGUGCGUAACGCGUGGGAACCUGCCUUUAGGUUCGGAAUAACUCAGAGAAAUUUGAGCUAAUACCGGAUAAUGUCUUCGGACCAAAGAUUUAUCGCCUUUAGAUGGGCCCGCGUUGGAUUAGCUAGUUGGUGGGGUAAAGGCCUACCAAGGCGACGAUCCAUAGCUGGUCUGAAGAGGAUGAUCAGCCACACUGGGACUGAGACACGGCCCAGACUCCUACGGGAGGCAGCAGUGGGGAAUAUUGGACAAUGGGCGAAAGCCUGAUCCAGCAAUGCCGCGUGAGUGAUGAAGGCC
rnacentral:rRNA from 1 species